rnacentral:misc_RNA from 1 species
UCGACCUACGUUGUAUUAUACCGCAUAACUUUCUACUGGAUGUACCGAUUAUGAUAAUUCUUUUUUUGUUGGAAAGGGGAUAUCCCUAGUUUGGAAACCAGGAUCUGAUAAUGGGAUCCCAGAGAAAUCGAGGGAACUUCUUGAAAUUCCGCAAUAACUUUUUACUGGGUGUACCGAUUUUAAUAAUUUUUAAUUUAAUCAAAAGCUGAUGUUUGUCAUGUGGUCACAUAUAAAUUUCAUUGAGAUCUGAUAACUACUUUUUGAGUAAUCUUUGAUA